rnacentral:rRNA from 1 species
GUACGCUGGCGGCACGCCUAACACAUGCAAGUCGAACGCAGUAGCAAUACUGAGUGGCAAACGGGUGAGUAUAAUGUGGGAAUCUGCCUUUUGGUUUGGAAUAACACGGGGAAACUUGUGCUAAUACCGAAUAAGCCCUUACGGGGAAAGUUUUAAUGCCGAAAGAUGAGCCCGCACUUGAUUAGCUAGUUGGUAAGGUAAAAGCUUACCAAGGCAACGAUCAAUAGCUGUUCUUAGAGGAAGACCAGCCACAUUGGGACUGAGACACGGCCCAGACUCCUACGGGAGGCAGCAGUGGGGAAUCUUGCACAAUGGGGGAAACCCUGAUGCAGCGAUGCCGCGUGAGUGAAGAAGGCCUUUGGGUUGUAAAACUCUUUCGUCGGGGAAGAAAAUGACUGUACCCGAAUAAGAAGGUCCGGC